GCCCUUUCAGUUCAGUGGUCGAGCGCUGGUUUUGAAAGCCACAGGUCGGUGGCUCAAAUCCACCCGGGCGCA
rfam:Phytophthora infestans T30-4 supercont1.4481 genomic scaffold, whole genome shotgun sequence.